rnacentral:rRNA from 1 species
GUAACAAGGUCUCCGUAGGUGAACCUGCGGAGGGAUCAUUACACAAUAAAAUACGAAGGCCGUUCGCGGCUGGACUAUUUAUUACCCUUGUCUUUUGCGCACUUGUUGUUUCCUGGGCGGGUUCGCUCGCCACCAGGACCACAAUAUAAACCUUUUUUAUGCAGUUGCAAUCAGCGUCAGUAUAACAAAUGUAAAUCAUUUACAACUUUCAACAACGGAUCUCUUGGUUCUGGCAUCGAUGAAGAACGCAGCGAAAUGCGAUACGUAGUGUGAAUUGCAGAAUUCAGUGAAUCAUCGAAUCUUUGAACGCACAUUGCGCCCUUUGGUAUUCCAAAGGGCAUGCCUGUUCGAGCGUCAUUUGUACCCUCAAGCUUUGCUUGGUGUUGGGCGUUUUUGUCUUUGGCCCGCCAAAGACUCGCCUUAAAAUGAUUGGCAGCCGGCCUACUGGUUUCGCAGCGCAGCACAUUUUUGCGCUUGCAAUCAGCAAAAGAGGACGGCAAUCCAUCAAGACUCCUUCUCACGUUGACCUCGAAA